CCUACGGGUGGCUGCAGUGGGGAAUAUUGGACAAUGGGGGGAACCCUGAUCCAGCCAUGCCGCGUGUGUGAAGAAGGCCCUCGGGUUGUAAAGCACUUUCAGUGAGGAAGAACGCCUGGUGGUUAAUACCCAUCAGGAAAGACAUCACACACAGAAGAAGCACCGGCUAACUCCGUGCCAGCAGCCGCGGUAAUACGGAGGGUGCGAGCGUUAAUCGGAAUUACUGGGCGUAAAGCGCGCGUAGGUGGCUUGAUAAGCCGGUUGUGAAAGCCCCGGGCUCAACCUGGGAACGGCAUCCGGAACUGUCAAGCUAGAGUGCAGGAGAGGAAGGUAGAAUUCCCGGUGUAGCGGUGAAAUGCGUAGAGAUCGGGAGGAAUACCAGUGGCGAAGGCGGCCUUCUGGACUGACACUGACACUGAGGUGCGAAAGCGUGGGUAGCAAACAGGAUUAGAUACCCUUGUAGUC
rnacentral:rRNA from 1 species